AGAAUAAUAAGGUAAUGAAUUUUAAAAUCACCUUGUUAGUAAAGUUUGCUAAUAUUUGAAAAUAAUUAUAAUCUGUGUCUUUCUAACAUGAUUCUUAAUUAACAAACAAAGGCCAACGACCCAAGCCAAGCACUGCCAUCAGAAAGGCAAAAAAGAAUAAUUGACAGAAUGAUUGGAAAGGCCUCCGUGUCAACUAGUAAUGAGGACAUGACUUACAUUUGGGACUUUGCUGGCCAGCAGCUGUACUAUAUUACACAUCGAAUAUUCCUGACAAGCGAGGCAGUGUAUUUGAUUUUGUUCAAUUUGAUGGAAGGUAUGCACGACAAGGGGAAGUGUAGAAUCUCUAAGAUGG